rnacentral:rRNA from 1 species
CGUUAGCGGCGGACGGGUGAGUAACACGUGGGUAACCUACCUAUAAGACUGGGAUAACUUCGGGAAACCGGAGCUAAUACCGGAUAAUAUUUCGAACCGCAUGGUUCGAUAGUGAAAGAUGGUUUUGCUAUCACUUAUAGAUGGACCCGCGCCGUAUUAGCUAGUUGGUAAGGUAACGGCUUACCAAGGCAACGAUACGUAGCCGACCUGAGAGGGUGAUCGGCCACACUGGAACUGAGACACGGUCCAG